UGUGCCUCACACUUUUUAAAUUGCAACUGUGCAUAUAGAUUCCUAAAAUGUUUACAAAAAUGAAUUAUAGUAUGUCUCUAAGCAAAUAACUUUUUGAAUGAGCUAUUGGAUCAGAAGCGAAAAGCAUUAUUUGAAAAUCUAAUUGGAUUUAACUUGUAACUAUCAUUAUGAUGCACAUGUUGUUGGUUGUGAAUAGAAAUAUGAAGACCUCUCCCUGAGUGAUUGAAGGAUUGGUCAUGGUUUCGAAAGAUGUUUAUUCCCACUGCUCAACAUGAUAUUUUAUUCGAGGGGUAGUUACUAGUUAGUUAUUACAAGCCUUUAGAUUACACUAAGGGCCAGAGUUUGGCUUUUUGUUCUCUCUCUCUCUCAUCUGUUUGCAUAACCACUGCAGUGCAUUAUGGUUUUCUGAGAUAUUUUAUUUCUCCUCUAGCUUACCAAAUACUAGUAUUCAUUUCUCAAAUGGUGAGUCACGCUUAGCAAUGUCAUGUCAACUUUCACCAAGUACUGAGUGAAUAUAUCUCAUUGUAGGUGCCAUCACCUUUUACGGUUACUUUAGAUUUAGAUCUAUAACUUCGACUAUUUUGUUGGAAGGUGCAUGUUUCACCAUUAUGCCUUUUUGAGAUAUUUUCUUUCUCCUCUAGCUGACCAAAUACUCAUUUCUCAAAUGGUGAGUCACGCUUAACAAUGUCAUGUCAGCUUUCACCAAGUACAGAAUGAAUCUAUCCAUUGUAGGUGCCAUCACCUUUAAUGGUUACUUGGAAUUUUUAUAACUUAACUAUAUCGUUGGAGGGUGCAUGUUUCAAGUAGAAAAUCUCUAUUUAUUGUGAUACUGUUACAGCCAUCUGUCAAAUUGGCAUUUGAAAACUGCUGAAAACUAUUUGGUUUCGUAUUGAGAUUAGUACUCACAAGACAUCACUCAGGCUCUGUUCUGCACAUCUUCCUCGUUUUUUUCCCCUCUACCUCUUUGCUUAAGGUAAACAGAAAAAGAUAGAGGUUCUUGAGCUGUCGUAUGAACUAACUCUUGGUGGCGGUGCUUUUGGAAAUCGGCUGGCUGUCAAUGCGGAUUUCAUCCAUGAGCUAUGGAGUGAACUUGGGAAAUAGUUAGCUUUUAAAAGCCUCAAAAUGAACCUGAGAAGAAAUCCCUUUACAUCUACUCUCCACAGGAACAUGCUCGGAUAAGAAAGGUCUGUAAAAUGUUAAACCACAUGCACUGAAGAUUUAGACCUUUUAUAUGUGCUAAGCAUGACAGAAUCUCUGCCUGAAUGAAAAUCGACAGACAAUUGAGGAUGACGCCAAGGGGAAGUCGGGCGACAUUGUCUCGUGCUCGUUGGAGACCCCCUGCAUGUAAUGUUCCAGCAACGGUAUGCUACUCGACUGCCCUAGCUCCUCUACCUCAGAGCACAGCCCGUUUUUCUUGAAAACACGACAUAACGCGUAGGAGUCCUGUGAAGCCAAAAAGAGAUUAGAUUGGGAAGACAACUAGAUUCUUGGAUUCAUGUUUAGGUUAUGAGGGGAGGGAAAAGUUUGAACAUGAAUGAUCUGGUGACAGCAAAAGAGAGGGGUCAUGGAUGUUUUUUUAAGUCAAUAAUAGGGGCUGCUGGAUUUAGAGAGAUACACUGUCAAAUUAAAGUGAUAAAGAAGCAGAAAUUAUGGAAAAAAAGCAA